rnacentral:rRNA from 1 species
AUGCAAGUCGAGCGGAUGAAGGGAGCUUGCUCCUGGAUUCAGCGGCGGACGGGUGAGUAAUGCCUAGGAAUCUGCCUGGUAGUGGGGGAUAACGUUCCGAAAGGAACGCUAAUACCGCAUACGUCCUACGGGAGAAAGCAGGGGACCUUCGGGCCUUGCGCUAUCAGAUGAGCCUAGGUCGGAUUAGCUAGUUGGUGAGGUAAUGGCUCACCAAGGCGACGAUCCGUAACUGGUCUGAGAGGAUGAUCAGUCACACUGGAACUGAGACACGGUCCAGACUCCUACGGGAGGCAGCAGUGGGGAAUAUUGGACAAUGGGCGAAAGCCUGAUCCAGCCAUGCCGCGUGUGUGAAGAAGGUCUUCGGAUUGUAAAGCACUUUAAGUUGGGAGGAAGGGCUGUAGGCUAAUAUCCUGCGGUUUUGACGUUACCAACAGAAUAAGCACCGGCUAACUUCGUGCCAGCAGCCGCGGUAAUACGAAGGGUGCAAGCGUUAAUCGGAAUUACUGGGCGUAAAGCGCGCGUAGGUGGUUCGUUAAGUUGGAUGUGAAAGCCCCGGGCUCAACCUGGGAACUGCAUCCAAAACUGGCGAGCUAGAGUACGGUAGAGGGUAGUGGAAUUUCCUGUGUAGCGGUGAAAUGCGUAGAUAUAGGAAGGAACACCAGUGGCGAAGGCGACUACCUGGACUGAUACUGACACUGAGGUGCGAAAGCGUGGGGAGCAAACAGGAUUAGAUACCCUGGUAGUCCACGCCGUAAACGAUGUCAACUAGCCGUUGGAAUCCUUGAGAUUUUAGUGGCGCAGCUAACGCAUUAAGUUGACCGCCUGGGGAGUACGGCCGCAAGGUUAAAACUCAAAUGAAUUGACGGGGCCCGCACAAGCGGUGAGCAUGUGUUAAUUCGAAGCAACGCGAGAACCUUACUGGCCUUGACAUGCUGAAGAACUUUCCAGAGAUGAUUGGUGCCUUCGGGACUCAGACCCAGUGCUGCAUGCUGUCGUCAGCUCGUGUCUGAAAUGUUGGGU